GGAGGGAGUGUGCUCUGAGGGGCAAGGGCUGCUCCGAAGCCCUGCUAAUGUCUCUGUGUGGCCAUGCUGUAUUUUCAGCUUGUCAUCAUGGCUGGGACAGUGCUGCUUGCCUACUACUUCGAAUGCACUGACACUUUUCAGGUGCAUAUCCAAGGAUUCUUCUGUCAGGACGGAGACUUAAUGAAGCCUUACCCAGGGACAGAGGAAGAAAGCUUCAUCACCCCUCUGGUGCUCUAUUGUGUGCUGGCUGCCACCCCAACUGCUAUUAUUUUUAUUGGUGAGAUAUCCAUGUAUUUCAUAAAAUCAACAAGAGAAUCCCUGAUUGCUCAGGAGAAAACAAUUCUGACCGGAGAAUGCUGUUACCUGAACCCCUUACUUCGAAGGAUCAUAAGAUUCAUAGGGGUGUUUGCAUUUGGACUUUUUGCUACUGACAUUUUUGUAAACGCCGGACAAGUGGUCACUGGGCACUUAACGCCAUACUUCCUGACUGUGUGCAAGCCGAACUACACCAGUACAGACUGCCAAGCGCACCACCAGUUUAUAAACAAUGGGAACAUUUGUACUGGGGACCUGGAAGUGAUAGAAAAGGCUCGGAGAUCCUUUCCCUCCAAACACGCUGCUCUGAGCAUUUACUCCGCCUUAUAUGCCACGAUGUAUAUUACAAGCACAAUCAAGACGAAGAGCAGUCGACUGGCCAAGCCGGUGCUGUGCCUCGGAACUCUCUGCACAGCCUUCCUGACAGGCCUCA
rnacentral:sRNA from 1 species